GUAAAUAUAGAGGGGGAGGUGAUUGUCGAGGAGGAACAGAAGGUGAUGAUGAUGGUGGUACUGAAAAAGGUGAUGGUAAAGGGGAUAAAUAUAGAGGAGGUGAAGGUGGAGCUGGUGGUGAUAGUGAAGGAGGCGACAAUUGAGGAGUAGGGGGUGAUAGUAAUGGUGGUAUUGAAAGAGGUGAUGGCAAAGGGUAUAAAUAUAAAGGAGGUGAAGGUGAUGUUGGUGGUGAUAUGGGUGGAGGUGACCGUUGAGGAGGAGAUGACGGCAAAGGGGGUAAAUAUAUAGGAGGUGAAGGUGGUGGUGAUAGUAGGGGAGAUGACGAUUUAGGAGGAGCGGGAGGUGAUAGUAAUGGUGGUACUGAAAAAGGUGAUGGUAAAGGGGGUGAAUAUAGAGGAGGCGAAGGUGGUGAGGGAGGCGAUAUUUUAGGAGGAGUGAAAGGUGAUAAUAAUGGGGGUACUGGAAUAGGUGGCGGCAAAAUGGGUAUAUAUAGAGGAGGUGAAGGUGGUGAGGGAGGCGACAGUUUAGGAGGAGGUGAUAGUAAUGGUGGUAUUGGAGGAGGUCGCAGCAAAGGGGGUAAAUAUAGAGGAGGUGAAGGUGGUGGUGAUAGCGGGGAAAUUGACCGUUGAGGAGCGGGAGGUGAUAAUAAUGGUGGUACUAAAAAGGGUGAUGGCAAAGGGGUUAAAUAUAAAGGAGGUGAAGGUGGUGACAGUAAGGGAGGCGACAGUUUAGGAGGAGUGGGAG
rnacentral:lncRNA from 1 species